rnacentral:rRNA from 1 species
UUAGAGUUUGAUCCUGGCUCAGGAUGAACGCUGGCGGCGUGCUUAACACAUGCAAGUCGAACGAUGAUCCCAGCUUGCUGGGGGAUUANUGGCGAACGGGUGAGUAACACGUGAGUANCCNGCCCUNAACUCUGGGAUAAGCCUGGGAAACUGGGUCUAAUACCGGAUAUGACUCCUCAUCGCANGGUGGGGGGUNGAAAGCUUUAUUGUGGUUUUGGAUGGACUCGCGGCCUAUCAGCUUGUUGGUGAGGUAAUGGCUCACCAAGGCGACGACGGGUAGCCGGCCUGAGAGGGUGACCGGCCACACUGGGACUGAGACACGGCCCAGACUCCUACGGGAGGCAGCAGUGGGGAAUAUUGCACAAUGGGCGAAAGCCUGAUGCAGCGACGCCGCGUGAGGGAUGACGGCCUUCGGGUUGUAAACCUCUUUCAGNAGGGAAGAAGCGAAA